rnacentral:rRNA from 1 species
GACGAACGCUGGCGGCGUGCUUAACACAUGCAAGUCGAACGAUGACGACCGAGCUUGCUCGGUCUGAUUAGUGGCGAACGGGUGAGUAACACGUGAGCAACCUGCCCUUCACUCUGGGAUAACCUCGGGAAAUCGGGGCUAAUACCGGAUAUGAGCUCCUGUCGCAUGGCGGGUGUUGGAAAGAUUUUCGGUGAAGGAUGGGCUCGCGGCCUAUCAGUUUGUUGGUGAGGUAGUGGCUCACCAAGGCGAUGACGGGUAGCCGGCCUGAGAGGGCGACCGGCCACACUGGGACUGAGACACGGCCCAGACUCCUACGGGAGGCAGCAGUGGGGAAUAUUGCACAAUGGGCGAAAGCCUGAUGCAGCGACGCCGCGUGAGGGAUGACGGCCUUCGGGUUGUAAACCUCUUUCAGCAGGGAAGAAGCGAAAGUGACGGUACCUGCAGAAGAAGCGCCGGCUAACUACGUG